AACUUAGUAUACUAGAGUAAAUGGGAAAUUUACCAGUUCAUCAUUAUACUACUCAUCUCUAGAUGGAAAUUAAUUAACAGAAGGUGAUAGUGAGUGUAGAUCCUAUAAAGGGGAAACCAAAGUCCAAGAAUGGAGUAGUUAGUCCAACAGGCUCAAAGGGAGAGUGACAAUGAACCUGGAGGGAAGAAUUGUUUCCAUGACCACAGCGUUGACUUCAGUGAAGAGCAAGAAUUCUUCAGAUUUCAUUAUCUUCCGAGCAAAAAUUUCCUCAAGACUAUUUCUCUUUUUCCUUUUCCUAUUAGACAGCCUUGUCACUAGUAAUUCUUUGUCCCCAAAUAACCUGAUAACAGAGAGAAGGGAAAGACAGAGAGGAAUUUUGAUAGAAGGCUACAGAUAGAGGGAUUUAUUUUGGAGAUAAGAUAUUUUUGUGUUUUUUUUUCCCCCAUGAGAGUGAAGUAGAGAAGAUAGUGUGUAAUCGGACGCAGCAAACUAUGUACUUGGAACAUAGAGAUGGAGACUUUUUCUGCCUGAGCCCCUGUGUGAUGACAUCCUAGGCUGACAUCUUUCCCCUACCUACCCUGCCACCACCAGCGGACAUGGGUGGAUUGUAUGAAAAGAUAUUAGAAACACAGAAAUACAGCAUCACUGUGAGGAAAUUCUUGACUUGUGAGAUCAUGAAGUCAAGUGGGACUUUCAACCUAGGAAGAAGAGGUAUUUGAG